GUGGGGAAUUUUGGACAAUGGGGGCAACCCUGAUCCAGCCAUGCCGCGUGAGUGAAGAAGGCCUUCGGGUUGUAAAGCUCUUUCGGACGGGAAGAAAACUGCCAUGAGAACAUUGUGGUGGGCUGACGGUACCGUAAGAAGAAGCACCGGCUAACUACGUGCCAGCAGCCGCGGUAAUACGUAGGGUGCGAGCGUUAAUCGGAAUUACUGGGCGUAAAGCGUGCGCAGGCGGUUUUGUAAGACAGAUGUGAAAUCCCCGGGCUCAACCUGGGAACUGCGUUUGUGACUGCAAGGCUAGAGUGCGACAGAGGGGGGUGGAAUUCCACGUGUAGCAGUGAAAUGCGUAGAGAUGUGGAGGAACACCGAUGGCGAAGGCAGCCCCCUGGGUCGUAACUGACGCUCAUGCACGAAAGCGUGGGGAGCAAACAGG
rnacentral:rRNA from 1 species